rnacentral:rRNA from 1 species
UACGGAGGGGACUAGCGUUGUUCGGAAUUACUGGGCGUAAAGCGCACGUAGGCGGUUUUGUAAGUCAGGGGUGAAAUCCCGGGGCUCAACCUCGGAACUGCCUUUGAUACUGCAAAUCUCGAGUCCGGAAGAGGUGAGUGGAAUUCCUAGUGUAGAGGUGAAAUUCGUAGAUAUUCGGUGGAACACCAGUGGCGAAGGCGACUCGCUGGACUGAUACUGACGCUGAGGUGCGAAAGCGUGGGGAGCAAACAGG